GCCCUUAGAGUUUGAUCCUGGCUCAGGAUGAACGCUGGCGGCGUGCCUAACACAUGCAAGUCGAGCGAAGCGAUUUGACGGAAGUUUUCGGAUGGAAGACAAAUUGACUGAGCGGCGGACGGGUGAGUAACGCGUGGGUAACCUGCCUCAUACAGGGGGAUAACAGUUAGAAAUGACUGCUAAUACCGCAUAAGCGCACAGCAUCGCAUGGUGCAGUGUGAAAAACUCCGGUGGUAUGAGAUGGACCCGCGUCUGAUUAGCUGGUUGGUGGGGUAACGGCUCACCAAGGCGACGAUCAGUAGCCGACCUGAGAGGGUGAUCGGCCACAUUGGGACUGAGACACGGCCCAAACUCCUACGGGAGGCAGCAGUGGGGAAUAUUGCACAAUGGGGGAAACCCUGAUGCAGCAACGCCGCGUGAGUGAAGAAGUAUUUCGGUAUGUAAAGCUCUAUCAGCAGGGAAGAAAAUGACGGUACCUGACUAAGAAGCCCCGGCUAACUACGUGCCAGCAGCCGCGGUAAUACGUAGGGGGCAAGCGCUAUCCGGAUUUACUGGGUGUAAAGGGAGCGUAGACGGCGCUGCAAGUCUGAAGUGAAAGCCCGGGGCUCAACCCCGGGACUGCUUUGGAAACUGUAAUGCUAGAGUGCUGGAGAGGUAAGUGGAAUUCCUAGUGUAGCGGUGAAAUGCGUAGAUAUUAGGAGGAACACCAGUGGCGAAGGCGGCUUACUGGACAGUAACUGACGUUGAGGCUCGAAAGCGUGGGGAGCAAACAGGAUUAGAUACCCUGGUAGUCCACGCGGUAAACGAUGAAUGCUAGGUGUUGGGGAGCAAAGCUCUUCGGUGCCGUCGCAAACGCAAUAA
rnacentral:rRNA from 1 species